GGCAAAGAUGCACAGGCGAUGUCAAAGACAACACCAAGCUCCUUGGGUUGCCCAACAUCGGAAACACCUGUUUUAUGAACUCUGCUCUGCAGUGCCUGUUGGAACUGCCUGCAUUCUGCAGAGUCAUCCUAAGACAGCAGGACAUCUGGAGUUCCUACCCCUCUUCUAAACUGCUCCGCUGUAGUGUUUGGUCAGGAGAAAUACAACCACCUGUCACUAAGUCUAAGCGCUCACCUGAGACAUAGCCUGGAACACUACUUCAUGCCGUCUCCAUUGGAAUGUAAAUGCUGGGACUGUUCAUGC